AGGUUUUGCAUGCUGUUGAUAAGAGUUUAAAAAUGUUUCCUGCUUGUUUUAUUUCCAGUGUAGUUUGAUGUAUUUCAGCUCUUUCUGUACGAUGAUUCUCUCUGUGCUGAUAUGCAUGAGAGGCUUCUUAAAGGGAAGUGAAACAAUGUGUGAGUGAGUGAAGCAGAGAAACCAUCUGACAGAAACUCCUUAAAGGAGAAGAUCAACUCUCACACAGGAAAGGUGUCCAAGUGUCUGCUGGUUGAUUGACAGCUGUGUGGUCCCGCCCUCCUCUAAUCUGAUUGGUGUCUCCUAGGUGAUGCCCGUCCCACCCUGACGGUGCUGCCCCCCUCCAGGGAGCAGCUGCAGCAGGGGACGGCCACGCUCAUGUGCCUGGCCAACAAGGGCUUCCCCUCAGACUGGAGUCUGUCCUGGAAGGUGGACGGCAGCAGCAGCAGCAGCAGCUGGGAGCAGAGCAGCAGCCCCGGGGUGCUGGAGAAGGACGGCCACUACAGCUGGAGCAGCACCCUGAGGCUCUCUGCAGACCAGUGGAGGAAGGUGGGCUCUGUGACCUGUGAGGCCACCCAGGGCUCCCAGACUCCGCUCUCAGAGACUCUGAGGAGAGACCAGUGUUCCCAGUCCUGAUCUGACUGACUGCUUUUACUCUGCUACUGCUCUCAGUCU